rnacentral:rRNA from 1 species
CAAGGCCUACCAAGGCGACGAUCCAUAGCUGGUCUGGAGAGGAUGAUCAGCCACACUGGGACUGAGACACGGCCCAGACUCCUACGGGAGGCAGCAGUGGGGAAUAUUGGACAAUGGGCGCAAGCCUGAUCCAGCCAUGCCGCGUGAGUGAUGAAGGCCCUAGGGUUGUAAAGCUCUUUCACCGGUGAAGAUAAUGACGGUAACCGGAGAAGAAGCCCCGGCUAACUUCGUGCCAGCAGCCGCGGUAAUACGAAGGGGGCUAGCGUUGUUCGGAUUUACUGGGCGUAAAGCGCACGUAGGCGGACUAUUAAGUCAGGGGUGAAAUCCCGGGGCUCAACCCCGGAACUGCCUUUGAUACUGGUAGUCUUGAGUUCGAGAGAGGUGAGUGGAAUUCCGAGUGUAGAGGUGAAAUUCGUAGAUAUUCGGAGGAACACCAGUGGCGGAAGCGGCUCACUGGCUCGAUACUGACGCUGAAGUGCGAAAGCGUGGGGGAGCAAACAGGAUUAGAUACCCUGGUAGUCCACGCCGUAAACUAUGAAAGCUAGCCGUC